GAACGCUAGCGACAGGCCUAACACAUGCAAGUCAGGGGCAGCACAAGGAGCAAUCUGAGGUGGCGACCGGCGCACGGGUGAGUAACACGUAUGCAACCUGCCUGUAAGCGGGGAAUAACCCGUUGAAAGACGGACUAAUACCGCAUAAUACUAAAUUACUGCAUGGUAAUUUAUUUAAACAUUUAUGGCUUACAGAUGGGCAUGCGCAUGAUUAGCUAGUUGGAGAGGUAACGGCUCCCCAAGGCAACGAUCAUUAGGGGUUCUGAGAGGAAGGUCCCCCCACACUGGUACUGAGACACGGACCAGACUCCUACGGGAGGCAGCGGUGAGGAAUAUUGGUCAAUGGACGAGAGUCUGAACCAGCCAAGUCGCGUGCAGGAAGAAUGUCCCUAUGGAUUGUAAACUGCUUUUGCAGGGGAAUAAAGUGCAUCACGUGUGAUGUUUUGUAUGUACUCUGCGAAUAAGGAUCGGCUAACUCCGUGCCAGCCGCCGC
rnacentral:rRNA from 1 species